rnacentral:rRNA from 1 species
GACGAACGCUGGCGGCGUGCCUAAUACAUGCAAGUCGAGCGCAGGAAAUCGACGGAACCCUUCGGGGGAAAGUCGACGGAAUGAGCGGCGGACGGGUGAGUAACGCGUAAAGAACCUGCCCUCAGGUCUGGGAUAACCACGAGAAAUCGGGGCUAAUACCGGAUGGGUCAUCGGACCGCAUGGUCCGAGGAUGAAAGGCGCUUCGGCGUCGCCUGGGGAUGGCUUUGCGGUGCAUUAGCUAGUUGGUGGGGUAAUGGCCCACCAAGGCGACGAUGGAUAGCCGACCGGAGAGGGUGAUCGGCCACACUGGGACUGAGACACGGCCCAGACUCCUACGGGAGGCAGCAGUAGGGAAUCUUCCACAAUGGACGAAAGUCUGAUGGAGCAACGCCGCGUGAACGAUGAAGGCCUUCGGGUCGUAAAGUUCUGUUGUAAGGGAAGAACAAGUGCCGCAGGCAAUGGCGGCACCUUGACGGUACCUUGCGAGAAAGCCACGGCUAACUACGUGCCAGCCGCCGCAGUAA